rnacentral:lncRNA from 1 species
AAACAUAUUUUCCUGCAAAAGAAAAAGAAACGUAUUUGAUACAUACAAACAAACAUGGCACUGUAGGCGUAUAUACACACUGGUGGGGAACGAAAUAUAUUUGAUACAGAAUAACAUGAUAUUGUAGACACCGGUGGAAAUCAAUAAAGAGAGUCAAUGUCCUGUGAUGAUUCCGUUUGUUGGUUUUAGGCAGGGUCUAGGACCUGGCCAAAAAAUCAUACUGAUACAUGAUAACAUGGCAUUGUUGGGUAUAUAUAUAUAUACACUGGUGGGAAAAGAAAUAUAUUUCAUACGUAAUAAAAUGAUAUUGUAGACACCAGUGGAAAUCAAUAAAGAGAUUCCAUGUCCUGUGAACAGUCCGUUGUUUGGUUUUAGACACGGUCUAGGACCUGCUUACAGUUAUAAAUCUUCAUGUUUAAUUCUUUCUUCUCCUUCGAUCCAUUGGCAGCGCGCCCGCUGUUUCACUGAAAAAACAGGCUAGAAUUAUUUGAUGACAACCAUGUCAGAACCAAAGCGAGCAUAGGAGAGAGGUUUUGUGCAACACAGUUUCAUUGCUACAUCGGUUACACAUAAAUGUAGUACAGAGCUCAACAAACUCAUACAAAGGGCGGCCGAAAGAAUAGGUCAGCACUAAUGCCACUAUCUAUACAUGCAUGUACCCACGUUCGCUAACACAACCGAUGAAAAUAGUACUUCUUUUGUCAUCUGUCUAGAGUACGGCUCCGGCAAGCACAAACCAUUAACAUAUGCUGCCCUAAUCUAUAAUUCCGAUAAAAAUGUAGAUUAUAUGUGAAUCACCUUCCUAUAGGUGAAACAAAUGAAAAAAAAUAGGGAUGUGAGUUUCAAUAUUGCAUUACUUUUCUGUUUUUCCGCUCCUCGUUUGCAAAGGCCAGGGAGAUCGUUUGGAAAAUAAAAGGCAAAAGCCCUGAGUCUGUCGCUGAGAUCUAGUGUAGAAUACCUGAUAAUUGGAGGUGGCAGCUUGUUCUUGAACUGAGUGUGCCGAGAUUAGAUAUUCUAGGCACAGGUACUGAUUCAAGUCAAAAAUACCAACUAUUACUUUCUGUUUCCCAACUUGAACGUACUGCAGAUGUUUGAUUUGAGAGGUUAAAUUCUAGCAUUGACGGAUUAUUCUUGUUAGAAAUUAAUACAAUCAAUCAUACACUAAAUCCGUAGACAUCAGAAAAGUAAUUUAGGAUCCAAGAGAGGCUGUGUGAGUUUUUUCUUCUUCGAAGAGCUAAGCACUUUCCCAUACGGAGUGCAAGUUCGAAAAGCAUAAACUCAAGGAUAGGAAAAACUCAUUGUAGCUGAAAAUAGUGAGCAUACACCUACCAGAGUGGAGGGCUGGACGGCUGGAGCGUUUUUCCGAGAGUAGAACGCGAGCA